GAUGAACGCUGGCGGCGUGCUUAACACAUGCAAGUCGAACGAAGCAUUUAAGACAGAUUACUUCGGUUUGAAGUCUUUUAUGACUGAGUGGCGGACGGGUGAGUAACGCGUGGGUAACCUGCCUCAUACAGGGGGAUAGCAGCUGGAAACGGCUGGUAAUACCGCAUAAGCGCACAGUACCACAUGGUACAGUGUGAAAAACUCCGGUGGUAUGAGAUGGACCCGCGUCUGAUUAGCUUGUUGACGGGGUAACGGCCCACCAAGGCGACGAUCAGUAGCCGACCUGAGAGGGUGACCGGCCACAUUGGGACUGAGACACGGCCCAGACUCCUACGGGAGGCAGCAGUGGGGAAUAUUGCACAAUGGAGGAAACUCUGAUGCAGCGACGCCGCGUGAGUGAAGAAGUAGUUCGCUAUGUAAAGCUCUAUCAGCAGGGAAGAUAGUGACGGUACCUGACUAAGAAGCUCCGGCUAAAUACGUG
rnacentral:rRNA from 1 species